AAGACUCAUAGAGUUUUUCCACAGUAUAUACAGUAGCGCAACUCUCCCGAUUUCAGCGUGUACAAAAUUGAACUGCACAUGCGCGAGCUAAGUAGGUAACCAAUCACAUAACAGAUUUUCUGUCGCAUUUUCUCUUACUGUUUUUCUAUAUCUCUUUCUGUCACACAUUUAAAUGCCAUGUAGAAUUCGGUUAGAAUUGGCGGGAGCAGACGUUUAGCUGUACAUCAGCUGUAUAGAAUCGAAGUGAAAAGCUGUGUCAAAAAAAAAUAGAUAGUGAGAAGUGUUCAGUGCUCAGUGGUGUUCAGUGACUGAGUGGAAAUUAAUAUUAACUGUCGAGGAGAAUCUUUGUUCAGAGAAUAGUUGAUCUGUAUAAAUUUUAAUUAUAAGAUUUAUACAGAUUUUCUAUUCUCUUCUAGAAGCACCUUUGAUCUUAGCUUUGUUGCAGGUGCAGCUUCUUGGAAGAUACAGAUAAUAAAAUAUAAGGAAAGAGGAUGUCAGCUUCUAAAUCAAGUUUAUGGUGUGUCGUAAAGGAGUGUAACAAUACGGAGAAAAGACACUUCUUUUUAUUUCCAAAGGAAUAUGAUAGAUGGUUGCAAUGGAUACGUGCAUGUGGAAGGUAUGUUCUGUUUCUGUUUAUGUUCCUGUUUCUUGUGCCAAGAAUUAUAAUAGCUGCAUUAAUAAAUAGAAAACUACAAGAAGAAGAAGAAUUGUAUAAAUACUACUAUUAUAUAUAAAAAGUUUGAAAUUGUGUAUAACUUUCAAAAUAUAAAUUUUUAUUAGAAGUUAAUUCAUUUAUAAUUACAUAAUGUUAAUAUUAGGUUAAUAAGAAUUUUAAUAUAAUGUUUGUUUUAUAAAUAUUAUUAGUCUUAUUUUAAUUGUUUCUAUUAUUCCCCGUAUGAUCUAAACAUUUAUAGAAAGAUUUUACGUAUCACUCUUAAAUACACUUCGUAUCAACUUUUUAUAAUCAGUUAAAAAUCUAUAAAUUAUGUAUAUGAUUACAAAGUAAAGUUAUUUAAGCCAAA